rnacentral:tRNA from 1 species
GCCUCGAUCGCUCAGUUGGGAGAGCGCUAGACUGAAGAUCAAAAGGUCACCAGUUCAAUCCUGGUUCGGGGCA